UACGUAGGGUGCAAGCGUUAUCCGGAAUUAUUGGGCGUAAAGAGCUCGUAGGCGGUUUGUCGCGUCUGCUGUGAAAACUGGAGGCUCAACCUCCAGCCUGCAGUGGGUACGGGCAGACUAGAGUGCGGUAGGGGAGAUUGGAAUUCCUGGUGUAGCGGUGAAAUGCGCAGAUAUCAGGAGGAACACCGAUGGCGAAGGCAGGUCUCUGGGCCACUACUGACGCUGAGAAGCGAAAAGCAUGGGGAGCGAACAGG
rnacentral:rRNA from 1 species